AUGGUGGCGGCUUAGAGACCCUCCUGGUAGCAAUGGUGGUGGAGGCGCGCGUGGGCUCGGGACAGAGCUCUUUCUCCUUCAGUUGAGGUCAUGGCCGGGGCCCGCAGCAUGUCAGGGUGGGUCAAGCGGUGGAGUACUUGAAACGGGAGUACUCGCUAGCGAAGCCCUACCAGGCUGUGGGAACAAGCAGUUCUUCGCUAUGGAACCUGAUGGGCAAUGCCAUGGUGAUGACUCAGUAUAUCCGCCUCACUUCAGAUAUGCAAAGUAAACAGGGUGCCUUGUGGAACCGGGUGCCAUGUUUCCUGAAAGACUGGGAACUGCAGGUGCACUUCAAGAUUCAUGGCCAAGGGAAGAAGACCCUGCACGGAGACGGCUUGGCAAUCUGGUACACAAAGGACCGAAUGCAGCCAGGGCCUGUGUUUGGAAACAUGGACAAAUUUGUGGGGUUGGGAGUGUCUGUAGAUACCUAUCCCAAUGAGGAGAAACAGCACAAGCAGGUAUUCCCCUACAUCUCAGCCAUGGCGAACAACGGUUCCCUCAGCUAUGAUCAUGAGCGGGAUGGGCAGCCUACAGAGCUGGGUGGCUGCACAGCCAUUGUCCGAAAUAUCAGUUAUGGCACCUUCCUCAUGAUUCGCUAUGUCAAGAGGCAUCUGACGAUAAUGAUGGAUAUUGAUGGCAAACAUGAGUGGAGGGACUGCAUUGAGAUGCCCGGGAUCCAGCUCCCCUGGGGCUAUUACUUCCGCACUUCCUCCAUCACUGGGGAUCUCUCUGAUAACCAUGAUGUCAUUUCCCUCAAGUUGUUUGAGCUGACUGGAGUGAGGACCCCAGAAGGAGAAAAGCUACAUCGAGAUGUAUUCCUGCCCUCGGUGGAUAAUUUGAAGCUGCCAGAGAUGACAGUAACACCAACGCCCCUCAGUGGCCUGGCUCUCUUCCUUAUUGUCUUCUUCUCCUUGGUGUUUUCCGUAUUUGCCAUUGUCAUCGGGAUCAUACUCUACAACAAAUGGCAAGACCAGAGCCGGAAACGCUUCUACUGAGCCUGCUGCCAUCAGUCCCUCUACGGUGUUUACCAUAAGGUGUGGGUCUGAGAUACAGCCUGGCAUGUCGGCCCGUUGUUCAGGGACUGUGUUCUGUCUCUGGAGAUUUGAAUGCUAGGAGCCUGCACCCUCAUGGUCAUCCACGGGAACAUCUCACUGGCCCAGGAUACCACCACAGGGCCGAGCAGCUGUGGUAUGCCUUUCCUUGGAGUCCUUCCAUUUUGGAGUGCAGAGACAUGGAGAAAUACCUGCUGUGAUGCCUAAAUUACACAAUUGGGCAGAUAGCCCAAGCGUGGACUGGACACAGUAGGCCUUCCAUUGCAUUUUAAAAUUCCCAAAUAGAAAACCAGAACCGGUACAAUCUGGAGACCCACUUACUAGUCUUUGCUUUGCCCAUGCCUCUUUCUACUUCAGGAGAUCCUUGGCAAUCUGGAUGGAGACUUCUCCCUCACCCACCUGUCUCCCUCCACUCACCGUCCUCUUUAUAUACAUCCUUAGCUAGGAAAGAAGUUUGCCACUCUCAUUAGGUGGACCUGGGGCUUCCUGCAGCCACUCAUUUCUUCAACCUCUUCUCUGCUGGGUGGAUCCUGUUUUUGACUGUGGCUGUGUCUUCUGAUUUCCUCAUCAAAGCCCUUCAGGCCUUUGGAUGGUUUGGCUAAACGUUGUUACAACUCAAGAGAAGCUAGGAGGAGUUGACAGAUGCUGUGAGGUUAACUCUGGAAUCAUCCAGGUCCAGGUGUGCCUCAGAGAGCAGUGUUGGCUGCGUCUGACCAUGUGGAGUCGUCUGGACCUGUUGGAGCCUGCUUAGUCGCAUGUGUUGUGUUUGUCCUGAUUCUUGGGAUUCUGCUCUGAGUGUUGGAAGUGAUAAGCAGCUUUCUUCUUACUCCCUGGACUUGGCCAUGCCCCCAAGAUGCUUGGCCUCUUACUGAGAAGAAACAGUUGGUGAUCUCCUGUUACACAUCUCUGAGAGUGAAAGCCCUUCAUCCUCUGUGCCUGGAAAAGUUGUGGUCCUGGAGCAGCAGCACAGCUUGAGUGCCCUUGUGUGUCACCUGUUACACUGCCUUAUUCCACAAGGGCCACAUGCUGCUCACCUAUCUGCCCUGUGGUUAAAUUGGUUACAGGCUAGUCUCCCUGGAGGACCUGGCAUAGUUCUCUGUAGCCCGAGGAAAAGGCUUCAUAAAGUAGCUGAUGGAACCGCUCAUGAGUUCUGGCUCAGUGGCCUUCUUGUAGUGUGGGCUUGGUUGGGAGCUCCAGCCUUUUUCCUGAGCCUCAGGUGUGUCUGCUCUCAUCCUGCCCUUCCUGGAUAGUUGGGAAAACCCUCACCCCAUCCCUUACCUUAUCCGUCCGUAGACUAGGAAGAUGGUCACGCUGGCUGCAAUUGAGAGUUCAUCUCAGCCCCCUGUCUUUUCCAUGUAGACAUUAAAACAUGAUAGUCUGUGUUGCCCUUAUGCAAGAGAAAAGAAGAUGGGGUGCAGAAAGUCUUACACCUUCCCUCAGUAGCAUACCAGCUUAAGGGGAACCAGGGAACAAGCUGGGAUAUAGGUUGGCCCUAGUACUAGGAGUGCUGAAAAGUAAUCAUAGUUUUGUCUGCUUUGAAUUUAUCUCAAAGGGAGAAUGGGUGGGUCCUGUGGUAGAGGAUCUAAGUGGCCUGUUGAGAUGACUCUCACUGCCACUGGACUGAUAGGAUUUGCCCACAGGAAGAGUAAAGAGAGUGAGUCAGGUUAGCCUAACUCCUGCUCAUGAAUACCUUGGUGCUUUGAAAGAGACCAGAAGAGAGGCUCUGCAGUCCUCUUGUAGCCUGGGAACUAGUCUUUUCCAUUUUGAAAAAUGUGUAUAAGAAAGCCACCUAUGCACACACCUUUAAUCCCAGCACUCAGAAGCAAAGGCCAGUGGGUCUCUGAGUUCAAGGCCAGCCUGGUCUUUGGAGCAAGUUCCAGGACAGACAGAACUAUACAGAGAAACCUUGUCUUGAAAAAUUGAAAACAAAAAACCAAACCAAUUAAAAACAAAACCUACCCAU